CCUACGGGUGGCAGCAGUGGGGAAUUUUGCGCAAUGCUCGUAAGAGUGACGCAGCGACGCCGCGUGAAUGACGAAGGCCUUCUGGUCGUAAAGUUCUUUCGACAGGGAAGUAAAUUCCUCUAAGUAACUGUUUAUGUAUUGACGGUACCUGUAUAAGCAGCCCCGGCUAACUCCGUGCCAGCAGCCGCGGUAAUACGGCGGGGGCGAGCGUUGUUCGGAGUGAUUGGGCGUAAAGGGCACGUAGGCGGUGUUGUAAGUCAUUAGUCAAAGAUUGGAGCUCAACUUUAGAAAGGCUAGUGAUACUAUAAUACUUGAGUAUAAGAGAGGAUGGCAGAAUUCCUGGUGUAGCGGUGAAAUGCGUAGAUAUCAGGAGGAAUACCGUUAGCGAAGGCAGCAAUCUGGAUGGAAACUGACGCUGAGGUGCGAAAGCGUGGGUAGCAAACAGGAUUAGAUACCCCAGUAGUC
rnacentral:rRNA from 1 species